CUCGUAGGCGGUUCGUCGCGUCCGGUGUGAAAGUCCAUCGCUUAACGGUGGAUCUGCGCCGGGUACGGGCGGGCUGGAGUGCGGUAGGGGAGACUGGAAUUCCCGGUGUAACGGUGGAAUGUGUAGAUAUCGGGAAGAACACCAGUGGCGAAGGCGGCUUACUGGACGGUAACUGACGUUGAGGCUCGAAAGCGUGGGGAGCAAACA
rnacentral:rRNA from 1 species